AUACGGAGGGUGCGAGCGUUAAUCGGAAUUACUGGGCGUAAAGCGCGCGUAGGCGGAUAAUUAAGUCAGAUGUGAAAUCCCCGGGCUCAACCUGGGAACUGCAUUUGAUACUGAUUAACUAGAGUAUGAUAGAGGUGAGUGGAAUUUCCGGUGUAGCGGUGAAAUGCGUAGAGAUCGGAAGGAACACCAGUGGCGAAGGCGACUCACUGGGCCAUUACUGACGCUGAGGUGCGAAAGCGUGGGUAGCAAACAGAAUUAGAUACCCUAGUAGUCC
rnacentral:rRNA from 1 species